rnacentral:rRNA from 1 species
UACGAAGGGGGCCAGCGUUGCUCGGAAUUACUGGGCGUAAAGCGCACGUAGGCGGGUUCUUAAGUCGGUGGUGAAAUCCUGGAGCUCAACUCCAGAACUGCCUUCGAAACUGGGAAUCUUGAGUCCGGGAGAGGUGAGUGGAACUGCGAGUGUAGAGGUGAAAUUCGUAGAUAUUCGCAAGAACACCAGUGGCGAAGGCGGCUCACUGGCCCGGUACUGACGCUGAGGUGCGAAAGCGUGGGGAGCAAACAGG